AUGACAGCUGUAAAAUACUGCCGUACUGAAUCUACUGAUAUGAUACUUUCGAUAGCUAAUGUGUUCAGUGUUCCUACCACAUUCCACUUGAGGUGGUUUUCAGUUCGUUUAUGGUCUGUUUUUGGCAUGGAUUGCAGUUUCUCUGAGGUUUUGGCACAUAUUAUUUCUCAGCUUGUCAUGUUUCUCUGCAUCUGCUGGUGUGAGUUCUGUGUGGACUUAAUGAACAUUUUUGGCCAACUGUACCUUAAACAUGUUGUUUUUCUUUCUAAACUAAACAUUUGAUUCACAUAUACUCUAGCGUUGCCUUCUGUAUUUAAACUAAUGCAGUGUGUCAGGAGAAGAUGUUUUUUACUGUCUGGGUCAUGCAUGAUCUUUCGAGAUUGGUUGCAUGGAUGUCUAUGACCAUUUUAAACAAUUUAAGAAUGUAAUGCAUUAUUUGAGAUAUUUUACAUGUGGAAAUAUGAUCAGAUUGUAAAGAAUCUUGAAAAUAAUGCAUUCAUAAGCAUUGUAAGAAAAUAAGGUCAUUACAGUUUGAAUGAGCACAAUGAGUAUUCACAAUGUGGCCUUUCUUCCUUUAAACGCGUGGUAAAAUAGAAACACUACACUGGUUAUAUUUUAUUGGGUCAUGUACCUCCAUAAACUACCAUUCAAUUAUGUCGGUCCAAAAGCCUUUGGUCUCUGUCUCUAGAUAUGGCUAUUUGAACAAUUUGUACUUUUUAAAAAUGACUUUUAAUUCUUUGUGUGACCUACUGAAUAAGAUUGCAACAAGCGUUUGCAAUCAUUUGCAUUCGUUUGCUGUAUCAAAAUCAAUAGUUACAUAAUGGUACUGGAUUUUUUUAUAUUUUCCAUACUUGACUGGAAUAUUUAAAAUUGUAUUUCAUUGUAUAUACAAGGGAAGAUUCUAAGGACCGGAAUAUUGCAUUUAAGUUGAAUUCUAGUUAUAUCUAAUGGUGUAUCGCUUUUCGCAAUAUGCAAUAUUGCAAAAAAUUUAACUUUUCUACAUUUACAUUUAGUAGCAGUUUAUCAGUGGUGACAGUAUCAAGGUGAUGAACAUAUGGCAGAAAUGUACAGUUCAGCUCUUAUUUUCUAAUAAUAUUAAGGGGUGAGAUGUAUAUUGUAAAUAGCAGAGGGCCUAAGACAGAUCCUUGCAGUACUUCACUUAUACUGUGCUUUGUAAAAAGAGCUGAAUUUGUUUCGUAUAGGCAAUGAAAAGUCUUCGGCCCUGAGAUAAAUCAAUGUCCACAGCUUCUCUCAUAGUGAAGAAAUGAGCUGUUUGUUUGUCUGAUGCCUGUUUUAACGAUCCACUGGGCACAAUUCAACACACCCUCAUCUUUCCCUCUCAGACGGGGAUUUCAAAAGUGCUGAUAUGGCAACUGCAGAUUAACAUUGUAAGAAAGCCUCCUCAGUAAUCAUUAAAACAGCACGGAGGACAUCUGAGCCUUCGGCUUGGGCCCCAGACCCUCGGAGGUCGAUGUUGUGCUCGUGUGUUUGCAUAUGAAAAGCUGGAUGCCCCUCCAGUCCCUUUAAGCUUUCAAAGAUUCUCCGCACACAUAACUGGUGAGCAUUUCAUGUUAAAAUGAUCAUAAGAGACAGUACAGUCGCCACUUGAAAUAAAGCAAGCAGGGUGCAAAACAAAAGAGGAUCGGCUGUAAAUCCGGGCGUCCCGGACCUGCUGUCAGCGGUGGGGGUGAAAGUGCUCAAACAAUGGCUUUCAUCACACGGUUAAUGUCGGAUUAGAUUGCAUUAAGUACUCGAAAUGUGCUGAGUGCAAAGGAACGGGGCUUAUUUAAUGAGCCAUAACGGUGUGGUGUGGCCCUGUAUAUGCAAUACGAGAUUCAAUAAUAUUUUGCAUACUUAAUAUUGAAUCAAUAUUCUAACCAAGAACAAAAUCUAGUCGAAUGCAGCUAUUGCUUUUGAUACAGAAAAAGCAAAUUCAAAUCUUUAAUAUAGGACGCAUAAUGCUUUAAAAAAAGCCUCAAGUCUCUGCCAUAUUUUGGUCUCUUGACAUAGCUAUUGGUAAAAUGUGUGGUUUUUAAUAAGACUUAAUGUUUGUUGAAAUGUGACUGGAUUUUUUUCCCUCCAUACUUGAAUAUUAAAUAUCAAUUGUGUUUAUGUAAAGAGACCAGAAUAUUGGAGAGGCUUUAUGAUGCCUUUAUAUGUUUGCAGAAACUGAGAAACUGUUUUUUUCUCUGAAUCUUUUUAAUACAAAAAGUCAUAUUGUAAAUGUUUUUACUUUCACUUUUGAUUCAUUUAUUGUCUAAAUGUAUUAAUUACUUCAAAAUAUCUUGACCCCAAACUUUUAAAUGGUUGUGUGUGUGUGUGUGUGUGUGUGUAAGGCUGUAGACAGGACAUUCAUUUAAUCCAUUUCUCUGUCAAUGACUCAAUAUUUCAGUGAGUCAGAGUGAAGUUGAGCAACGCUGCUAUUUUCCCAUCCGUCCACAUCACGUCUCACCUCAGUUUGAUCCCGUGAUGAAUCCAUGAAGACUCACAAACUUAUACAAAAGACAUUAGUCAGUGCCCAUUAAAAGCCUCAAACAGAAAUGAAAAUCACAAGACUAAAUACAGAAAAUAAGGAGAAUUUUGCUUUAUCUGAUUUGCUAUACUCAUUCAUAGCUCUCUAUUGAUUUUCAUCUCUCAGUAUGAGACAAAGUUGAUAUUUAAAUGACAUCUAGUGGGGUCUGAAAGUCUGGGAUCACUAUAUCUGACGUCCUCCUGUCAGUUUUGCUCCGUGAUGUUGAUAAAUGAGCGGAGCGUGUUUAAAAAGAGCAUUGACUGGUGCUCACGAGUCAGUUACGCCGAUGAAAGCCAACAAUGGAGGUGGAGAGUGUCAGAGCAGAGGGGCGUGUCACAGAGGUCAUGACCUGCUCCUGUACCCCACGCCACAGGUCAAACUCACUUUGACUCUUUAGGACAAGAACGAAAAAAAGCAACGUGCACUAACAGGCAUCUCAUUCUCAAUAGUUUGUAUCCUUGCCGGAAACAAUGAAAUAAUUAUUUUAUCCAAUAUUUAAGAAAGAUUAUUUUAAUAUACCGGUCAAAAGUUUAAAAUUAUAAUAAAGAAAAUGUAUUUGCUUGAAAUAUAACUCUUUUCCUCACCAAGUCUGCCUUUAUUGUACU
ensembl:lncRNA